GAAGUGCUGGGACAGAACGAGGUGAUUGUGACAGCAGCUCUUCGACGUUCCGGGCAGAGGUUCCAAUGCCAGAUCCCUGCAGAAGGACCUGCCUUCCUGCUUUGCCUUUAGUUGACACCACCAUUUCUGCGGCAAGUUGAGGAAGAAGCACCAGGCAGUGGAGGUUUCUGAGGAGUGAAGGGUAGUCAGGGAGACUCCCUCACCCCAAAGUCUGUGCUGAUGUCUGUUUAGGUAAGGUAAAGCGGCUGCUAAAAGACCACACCGGCCAAAGAUCAGGACUCACACGUUCCUAUACCCGGGGACCCUUUGAAUAUCUGCCCAGCAAGGAAACCACUGGCACACUGCAGCAUGUGUGCUGGAAGAUUCCAAAUCAGUGGACAACAGAGCUCCUGUCCUUGGGAAGAAGGGCUAAGUGAGCCCUGAAAACCAAGUCAUCAACCGAUGACCAGAGAAACAGAACGUGGUCCAGACAUACCAUGAAAUACAGUCCAGCCAUGAAAAGGAACGAAGCACCUACGCAUGCUACAGCCUGGCGAGCCUUGAAAAGUUACGGGCACGCCUUCCUCUGGCCCAGGCUCCAUUCGGAGGAAUUCGGGCGCGGCACAGCGUCAGGACCCAGUGACAUCAGCAGCAGGAGUCACCUGGGGGGACCCCGAGCUGGCCUCAGAGCGUGGGCGGGAAGAGGAGCCAGAAACUGUACAGUGGUGGGGAGGGGGUUCGAAUAAAGUGUGCAAAAAUCACCGAGGAGAAGAGAAGCAACUGGGGCUGUUUCAGAAAAAAAA